rnacentral:misc_RNA from 1 species
UCUUUGGUUUCAUCAAAACCAAUAAGCUCGAUUUCAUAUAUUAUAUCUGCCGAGGGUGGAACAUUUGGGAAAGAAAAGCUUCCCUCUUUACCAUAACCUAAUUCAGAGCCCACAUGCAGAAGGGCACGUUCACCAGCCUUCAUAUUGGACACACCAAUAGCCAAACCCGCCAUUUCUUUCUUCUCUUUUCCUAUAAUCAUCUCAAUAGGUCGCUGUUCAUGCCACGUAUCCUCAAACUUGUGCUGGGUGCUUUCAGUCCAUGCUCUGUAGUGUAAGAAGCAUGUUGAAUAUUUGGAUGGCUUCUGACCAUGUCCUUCCUUAAUGAUUUGUUUUGUGACCUUCUCAUGUAGGACUUCCACCUCAGAAUCAACUUUUGGGGGACCAUCACCAACUUGAGGAGGA